AGUGCCGUUCGUUCCUUGAUCGUUUUGCCCCUAGACGCGACACUUUUCCUAGUCAUGCCUAAGGAGCCAAUUAUCGAGUUGUCUGGAGCAGGAGAUUCUGGUGAAUCUUGCCGUUCGUUCCAUGAUCGUUUUGCCCCUAGACGCGACACUUUUCCUAGUCAUGCCUAAGGAGCCAAUUAUCGAGUUGUCUGGAGCAGGAGAUUCUGGUGAAUCUCUUCUUGGACAUGUCGUGAUUGUUGGCGAGAUGUGUGUUGCUCACCUGGGCCUGACCAAUGGAUUCCGGAUGGUUGUGGAUGAAGGGCCCGAGGGUGGGCAGUCUGUCUCUCGCAUGCAUCUACCCGUUCUGGGUGGCG